CCAUCCACGACCUUCACUUCAUGUUGCAGCAUGAUAAUGCACGGCCCCAUGUUGCAAGGACCUGUAAACAAUUCCUGGAAGCUAAAAACAUCCCAGUUCUUGAAUGACCAGCAUACUCACUGGACAUGUUACCCAUUGAGCAUGUUUGGGAUGCUCUGGAUCAGUAUAUACGACAGCGUGUUCCAGUUCCUGCCAAU